rnacentral:rRNA from 1 species
GUGGGUACGGGCAGACUAGAGUGCGGUAGGGGAGAUUGGAAUUCCUGGUGUAGCGGUGGAAUGCGCAGAUAUCAGGAGGAACACCGAUGGCGAAGGCAGAUCUCUGGGCCGUAACUGACGCUGAGGAGCGAAAGCAUGGGGAGCGAACAGGAUUAGAUACCCUGGUAGUCCAUGCCGUAAACGUUGGGAACUAGAUGUAGGGGCCAUUUCACGGUUUCUGUGUCGCAGCUAACGCAUUAAGUUCCCCGCCUGGGGAGUACGGCCGCAAGGCUAAAACUCAAAGGAAUUGACGGGGGCCCGCACAAGCGGCGGAGCAUGCGGAUUAAUUCGAUGCAACGCGAAGAACCUUACCAAGGCUUGACAUAUACCGGAAACGUCCAGAGAUGGUCGCCCCGCAAGGUCGGUAUACAGGUGGUGCAUGGUUGUCGUCAGCUCGUGUCGUGAGAUGUUGGGUUAAGUCCCGCAACGAGCGCAACCCUCGUUCUAUGUUGCCAGCACGUUAUGGUGGGAACUCAUAGGAGACUGCCGGGGUCAACUCGGAGGAAGGUGGGGAUGACGUCAAAUCAUCAUGCCCCUUAUGUCUUGGGCUUCACGCAUGCUACAAUGGCCGAUACAAAGGGCUGCAAUACCGUAAGGUGGAGCGAAUCCCAAAAAGUCGGUCUCAGUUCGGAUUGAGGUCUGCAACUCGACCUCAUGAAGUCGGAGUCGCUAGUAAUCGCAGAUCAGCAACGCUGCGGUGAAUACGUUCCCGGGCCUUGUACACACCGCCCGUCAAGUCAUGAAAGUCGGUAACACCCGAA